rnacentral:rRNA from 1 species
AUUGAACGCUGGCGGCAGGCCUAACACAUGCAAGUCGAACGAGUGGCGGACGGGUGAGUAAUGUCUGGGAAACUGCCUGAUGGAGGGGGAUAACUACUGGAAACGGUAGCUAAUACCGCAUACCAUCGGAUGUGCCCAGAUGGGAUUAGCUAGUAGGUGGGGUAAAGGCUCACCUAGGCGACGAUCCCUAGCUGGUCUGAGCGGAUGACCAGCCAAAAUGGGACUGAAGCAAGGGGCAGACUCCGAAGGGAGGGAGGAGUGGGGAAUAUUGGAGAAUGGGGGAAAGACUUAUGGAGCCAUGGCGGGUGUAUGAAGAAGGCCUUCGGGGUUUAAAGUAAUUUCAGCGGGGAGGCGUUACCCGCAGAAGAAGCACCGGCUAACUCCGUGCCAGCAGCCGCGGUAAUUC